CUAAGGGGAGUUAACGCGCCGCUGCAGCUCAUUGUCAAAGCCAGCUUCAGGCAGAGAACGAAGGAGGGAGCGACUUCGGGGCUGGGUUAAUGUUUUCCCGCAGGCAAGUGGUAGCAGAUGUCAAGGGUUAAGGACAAUUUAGGAGGCUGCACUUGUGUCGGGUGCCUCGGGCGAUGAGCCCAGGAGCCCGCUCUCCACGCAGUGACGCUUCCCAAGCUGGUGCUUUAGACCCCUCACUUGCCUGGCUGCUCUGAGGCCCCGUCCCUGAUGGCUUCUGACAAUUUGGUGUCCUUUGUAAAGACGACCUCAGAUCCUAUCAGCUUCAGUUUCACAAAACCUGGAUCCCCUGCCUCUGUGGUAUGUCUGGACUGCCCUGGGCAGGCAGGGCCUGGCUCUGAGAUGAAGAUUUCUCAGCACUGAAGGACCGCCUGCCUUUGAGCUGUGAAACUAGUCUAUCCUCACAUAGACACCAGUAAACUGAGGCUUGAGAGGCUCAAGGACACCCCGGAGGCCACGAAGGGUAGAACUCACUCCCCUGCUUCCAUCCCUGUCUUGCAUUCACUGCUGUGGCUCGGAGAAGCAGAGGGGUCUUGCUUUGGAGUUGUGUGUGUGUGUGCAUAUGUACGUGUAAGGUGUGUACAUGUGUUGCACACGUGUUCAUUGCAUCUGUGCAU
rnacentral:lncRNA from 1 species